GCUCCUAUUCGAAGGAUAACGGUCCUCUUUUCCUUACAAACUAGAUUAGAUUUCAUAGACGAUGUUCCUCACUUGUGGCUGGUGAAAAGUUAUCCCCAAGGACCAGGAGCUGAGAGGUUAUGCAAACAUGUGCCUUCCAUAUUGUAAAUAUGGUAAUCCUUGACUUACGACCAAAAAAUUCCUCUUGCAGAGUUUCUGGUUAAACAACACAAUCUUCUAUUUAAUGGAACUCAUAUGAUGCAGCACCAAUUGCACAUACAUACCCCAAUUUUUUGGCAUUUCUUUGGAAGAAGUUUUCACAUUGUCUGUUAAAAGGAAGAUCAAAUGUUGCAUGGAAGAACAGAAUCCAUACCACUUAGAUGGCCUUAAGAGGAAGUAUUGUAAAAGUGUUUUUAUUCUACGGCUAUUGAGUUGUUAGUAUUACCUAUGUCUGGGUUGUAUGGUCAAAAUGGCAAAUGUAUGUAAUGGGCUGAAAAUAUACUUGCAAUAAAGUUGAGUAUCUUCAUGACAUAUAGGAAUUGCUACCAGUACAGUCCCUGAGCACACUAAAGAGGAUUCUACAGAAGCAAUGGGUAUAUCUUUCAUUUUCAUUCUGCAUUUGGAUUUUUAUAUGACGGCUUUUACCUUCUAAUACAGCAGACAUUUUGCUAAGGUAGGAACUAUGCAAGCAUCACAGCAAUGAAUCUCAAGUAAUUAAUUAGUCCUGGUGUGAAAAAAUAGGGCUUGUCCCAAUCACACACUCUAUAACACAGCCCCAACUUAGAAAGUCCAACAGAAACCUAGAAGCUUCUGACCUUAAGCCAACCCUUUUCAAUCUAAAUAAUUUACUUUCUCAUUUGGAUCCAUCCAAUUAUUUGUUGAGUCUUUUCUUUCUCAUUGCCAUUUGCAAGAGGUUGAUUUAUAUGUCUAGGGUAGGCUGUGGCUAAAGAUGAUUUCUGAGCGUCUCAGAACAAAUUGAACCCUUCUUGUUGUUCUUUCUAGUUGUGUUACAUUUGAAGGUUAGGUGAGGGUUAUACUUGCUUGCUUGUUUUGUGGAAUU